UACGAAGGGGGCUAGCGUUGUUCGGAAUUACUGGGCGUAAAGAGCGCGCAGGCGGCUGGUCAAGUCCGAUGUGAAAGCUCCCGGCUUAACUGGGAAAUUGCAUCGGAAACUGAUCGGCUGGAAGGUGGGAGGGGGUAGCGGAAUUCCCGGUGUAGUGGUGAAAUGCGUAGAUAUCGGGAGGAACACCAGUGGCGAAAGCGGCUACCUGGCCCAUUCUUGACGCUGAGGCGCGAAAGCUAGGGGAGCAAACGGG
rnacentral:rRNA from 1 species